rnacentral:rRNA from 1 species
GAACGCGAAAGUCCCGCAAGGGAUCAGUAGAGUGGCAAACGGGUGAGUAACGCGUGGGUGACCUGCCUUCGAGCGGGGGAUAACGUUCCGAAAGGGACGCUAAUACCGCAUAACAUCCUGCCUUUUAAGAGGUGGAGAUCAAAGCCUGGGACCGCAAGGCCAGGCACUCGAAGAGGGGCCCGCGUCCGAUUAGCUAGUUGGUGGGGUAAUGGCUCACCAAGGCUCCGAUCGGUAUCCGGCCUGAGAGGGCGGACGGACACACUGGGACUGAGACACGGCCCAGACUCCUACGGGAGGCAGCAGUGGGGAAUUGUUCGCAAUGGGCGCAAGCCUGACGACGCAACGCCGCGUGGAGGAUGAAGAUCUUCGGGUCGUAAACUCCUUUCGAUCGAGACGAACGACCUCUGGAUGAACAGUCCAGGGGAGUGACGGUACCGAGAGAAGAAGCCCCGGCUAACUCCGUG